UGAAGGUAUGGUGUGACAAAAGCUCUGAGCACUGAAAAUGCAAUAUACAUACUAUGUAUGUAGGUAUGUGCAUAGAGGAGGCAAGCGAGCAAGCAAAGCUUCUGCUGCAAUUGCAGCUGCCUUGCUGCGAUGCCGUUGUCGUGCUGAUGUAUUAAAGUACUGCCUUGCGUCGCGUUUCGUCUCAUCCUUGUGCGCCGCGCCAUGUCGCACAUGCAAAUGCAGCAAAACACGGCAACAAGUAAACAAACCGAUUGGCUGGCGGCUGACGAAGCGACGUGGUGCGACGCCCCACUCGAAGGCACCUACACAAGCUCGCGCUAUCGAAAAGCCACAUUGUAAGAAGUUGGGGGCGCAGCAGUGGGUAUGGUAACUGAGCGUAUUGAGGGCGCUGCCAGUGCCAACUGACCAACAUAUUCUACAAGCGAACGACAAUCGUAGAGCUGCGUACGACGUACGAUAUAUGUGCAUACGAUGACGGGUGAGGGGAGCGCAGCGUUGGCGAGGUGUAGGGUGUGGGGUGAGAGCGACUGGCGAGCGUUGAAGUGCAGUGUAGUACAUGCAUUGUGAAUGCGAAUGCAAAAAACUUUGAAGAACGAACGGCACGCAAUUCUACGCUGCGCUCUAUUGUGAGCUGGUAACUUGCCAUAGUGCUAGUAAAUGCGAAAGCUCAACCGCAUGAACACACACAAAUGGGAAAACAACACCAGAAACACAAUAGUGCAUACACACAGUUGCAACAACAAUGCCAGCACUAACAACAAUUAUGGUUAUUAGCAAUAAAGACGAAAUGGGAGCAGCUGCGACGGCGCCAGCCAGCAGGCAAACAAUGCUUUUCGCUUACAUACCAGUGUCUUUCGUCUCAUUGGCGACCUCCUGCCAGGCCUUCUGGGUUUCGUCCUUCUUGCUGUAAGCUGGUAGCGUCGAGUUCCAAAGGCACGGAUGGUUUUCGACCAAUUGCACAAAGCGCACAUUCAAGACAGGAUCAUCCUUGCGCGCCAUGCGGACAGCGGGCGGCGCAGCAGUUGCGCGUCGCUGACGACCAGACCGACGACGAGAGUGUUGACGACGUUUGAUGAUGAUGACACCGUCCGCCAAAUGCACAGUGGCUGCUAGCAAUCGUAAUGCUGUGUCUGUCGCACCUGUUAUCGUAUUACCACCACCGCGCUAUAUAAUAUACAAUAAAUUGAAGCCACUCAGACGGCUGCCCUCGUUCGCGGUUUAGGCGCAGAGUGUGAUGCGACGCGGCGUAUAUGUAUUUUGAGUGAGUCGAUAUGUGUAUAUAUGCGAAUGUGUGUAUGUGUGUAUGUGCUUUUGUAUUUUGUAUGCGACGCGAAUUAAAUAGUGAACGACGGUGCAGCAAAAUCAACUUGACUGAACGAGCGUUAAGCGAAAACUGAAAAAGCUGCAUUGACGACGGCGGCGCCCCAACAACGACGGCUACUACUGCAAUGGCAAAUGGCAACAGCAAAAGCAACGGCAACGGCGGCACAUUUCAGCCAGCACGAAGAACGCGCGCCGUGAGCCAAAACAGUAGCACAGUGUGCUCGUUUCUUCACAAGUUAAACUAAAAAUUGUAACUGCUAAAUAAAAAACUAUCAAGGCCAAUGUAA